UCUUAUGGGCUGAGAAUUAAUUAAGUUGGGCUUUUAUUGUUGGCUUUAUUUUGGUAGGACAAAAAUUUGAGAAGAACACAAGUCCAUCUAGCUUAUAAAGCCCUAACCUUUGCAAUGGUGGCCAGCCAUGGAAGGAUUCCUUAGGGGGGUUUCUUCAAGAGUUGGAGAAUCUUGAUCAUGGAGGCUUGUGUGGACAAAUCAGAGGGUCAACAAUUAGAGACCUUCAACCAUUUGAGGAGGAAUGGUGAUUUCGUGCAUCAAGAGGUGAAAGUAAAGACGGAGCAGCUGAGUGAGAUUUCCUGUAGCUACGCCUUGAAGACUUAUUGAAAUUAGCUUUGAGUAUAGUAUAGGUAUACUCUUGUAUGUUUGAUUUUGAUGUAUGCAUGUAAUUAUAUGUAUGUAAUUUAUUUGAGUAGUUGUAUAAGAACUUUUAUAAUAUUAUUUUGGGUAUAUAAUUAAAAUGCAAAAUUAUUGUAAUAUUUAAAUAUAUUUGUAAGUUUUGUAAUUAAUGUAAAUAAUUCUUUUUGUA